rnacentral:rRNA from 1 species
UACAGAGGGUGCAAGCGUUAAUCGGAGUUACUGGGCGUAAAGGGCGCGUAGGCGGUUGUUUAAGUGAGAUGUGAAAUCCCCGGGCUUAACCUGGGAACUGCAUCUUAUACUGAAUGGCUUGAGUACUGUAGAGGGUAGUGGAAUUUCCGGUGUAGCGGUGAAAUGCGUAGAGAUCGGAAGGAACACCAGUGGCGAAGGCGGCUACCUGGACAGAUACUGACGCUGAGGCGCGAAAGCGUGGGGAGCAAACAGG